AUGUGAUAUAAAACAUAUAGUCAUGAUGUUGCAGAAGUGAAGGGAACCAGGGUUGCUAAAGUAAUUGUGGUGAUAGAAAUGUAUUAGCCUCAGAAGCUACUGAGGUGGUUCAUUCUAUCCUAGUACAGUG
rfam:Myotis davidii contig103829, whole genome shotgun sequence.